UUAUGACUUAUCAACUUGAGUUUAUAUUGUUGUUGCCAUUUUUAGGAGUUGCUUUGGAAAGCAUGAGCAGGUAAACUUGUACUCAGAUAUUUUCAACAAUGUGUCUCCCUUGGUUCAAGCUGGUCAUGGUUUCAUGGGAACAGAAACUGUGAAGUGAUGACAUGGCAAUCUAGGUGAGCCUGAACCCCAGGAUAACUAUAUGGAGGAACUGGAGUGGUUUGAGAGGAAACAGCGAGGGAAGAAACAGCAUCCAAGGAAGCAAAAGGAAGAAAUAAUUGAACAAUCAUGAUUCCAGCGUCACUAGUUUACUGUUGUCAUGUUUCUGGGGGUAGUAGCAUUGAUGGCUGGACUCCUUCUUACUGCCAUGGUCUAAUUAAA